rnacentral:rRNA from 1 species
GUGCCAGCCGCCGCGGUAAUACGUAUGGGGCAAGCGUUGUUCGGAUUUACUGGGUGUAAAGGGCGAGUAGGUGGUAUUAUAAGUUAAAUGUGAAAUCUUAAGGCUUAACCUUAAAACUGCAUUUAAAACUGUAAAACUAGAGUUCAGAAGAGGAGAAUGGAAUUCCCGGUGUAGGGGUGAAAUCUGUAGAUAUCGGGAAGAACACCAGUGGCGAAGGCGAUUCUCUGGUCUGAUACUGACACUGAGCCGCGAAAGCUGGGGGAGCAAACAGGAUUAGAUACCCUGGUAGUCCCAGCUGUAAACUUUGGACACUAGGUGUUGGGAGUAUCGACCCUUCCAGUGCCGUAGUUAACACGUUAAGUGUCCCACCUGGGGAGUACGCUCGCAAGGGUGAAACUUAAAGGAAUUGACGGGG